rnacentral:rRNA from 1 species
GACAGAGGUGCCGAGCGUUAGGCGGAAUCACUGGGCUUAAAGCGUGUGUAGGCGGACGUCUAAGUACCUUGUGAAAUCCCACGGCUCAACCGUGGAACGGCUUGGUAUACUGGGCGUCUUGAGCCACUUAGGGGUCGUCGGAACAAGCGGUGGAGCGGUGAAAUGCGUAGAUAUCGCUUGGAACGCCAACGGUGAAAACAGACGACUGGGAGUGUGCUGACGCUGAGACACGAAAGCCAGGGGAGCGAACGGG